rnacentral:rRNA from 1 species
GGACGAACGCUGGCGGCGUGCCUAACACAUGCAAGUCGAACGGAGAAGCGGAAGUAGUUUACUAUUACCGCAUUUUAGUGGCGGACGGGUGAGUAACACGUGGGCAACCUGCCUUAAAGAGGGGGAUAACACCGAGAAAUCGGUGCUAAUACCGCAUAACAUUAGUAAGUCGCAUGACUUGCUAAUCAAAGGAGCAAUCCGCUUUAAGAUGGGCCCGCGUCUGAUUAGCUAGUUGGUGGGGUAGAAGCCUACCAAGGCGACGAUCAGUAGCCGAUCUGAGAGGAUGAACGGCCACACUGGAACUGAGACACGGUCCAGACUCCUACGGGAGGCAGCAGUGGGGAAUAUUGCACAAUGGAGGGAACUCUGAUGCAGCAACGCCGCGUGGAGGACGAAGGUUUUCGGAUUGUAAACUCCUGUCUUUUGGGACGAUAAUGACGGUACCAAAAGAGGAAGCCACGGCUAACUACG